rnacentral:SRP_RNA from 1 species
GCUGGGCACGGUGACUCAUGCCUGUAAUCCCAGCACUUUAGGAGGCCGAGGCGGGUGGAUCACCUGAGGUCAGGAGUUCAAGACCAGCCUGGCCAACAUGGUGAAAACCCGUCUCUA